rnacentral:siRNA from 1 species
UUAAAGAUGCAACACAAAGGC